AUGUUGCUAAAUAUCUAUGUAACAUAACACACUAAUUUUAUUGGUACAGGUUGGAACUAUGAAAGGAUGAACAAAUUACAGCAUUCAACAUAUGUUUAAAAAUAAGAGUGGAACAAUGUUGCACCUUUUGGGUGCUGAUCAAAUAGAAGCUAAGGCAUUCGUAGACAAGUGUUAUUUGUUCUUUCAAACAAACAAGAUUAAAUGAGAAAACCAAACAAUGAAGAGAAUCCAGCGCAGAGCCAGGUGGGUACCUGUGACUAUUCCAUGGAGGGCCUACUGGAAAGACAGCUCUAACUCCCAGUCUUGGAUACACUUUGGGCCUCUUGAUAGGUAAGAAAGAGCAUUUUCCGUGGGUGUGUUCUCUAAAGACAAGAGCCAUCUUCUGUUUGCCAACAAAAGAACCUUGUUCAAUGUAGAUCCCAGCUGUACCAUUGCCUCUGAGGCACAUGGAUAUCAUAAAGAAUGUAUCAUAAGAGCGCAUGUUUUCACUUGUUAGGCUAGAAAGCCAUUCUCAGGUAAUGAGAUCAGUGGUACUCCAGGGUCCGUAACUAUUCUCUAGUUGAUUCUUCCAUCAGUUGAUG
rnacentral:lncRNA from 1 species